UACGGGGGGGCAAGCGUUGUUCGGAAUUUCUUGGCGUAAAGGGCUCGUAGGUGGCCUACUAAGUCAGACGUGAAAUCCCUCAGCUUAACUGGGGAACUGCGUCUGAUACUGGAUGGCUUGAGUUUGGGAGAGGGACGCGGAAUUCCAGGUGUAGCGGUGAAAUGCGUAGAUAUGCGGAGGAACACCGAUGGCGAAGGCAAUCCCCUGGGCCUGCACUGACGCUCAUGCACGAAAGCGUGGGGAGCAAACAGG
rnacentral:rRNA from 1 species